CCGCGUGAGUGAUGAAGGUUUUCGGAUCGUWAAAGCUCUGUUGUUAGGGAAGAACAAGUACCGUUCGAAUAGGGCGGUACCUUGACGGUACCUAACCAGAAAGCCACGGCUAACUACGUGCCAGCAGCCGCGGUAAUACGUAGGUGGCAAGCGUUGUCCGGAAUUAUUGGGCGUAAAGGGCUCGCAGGCGGUUUCUUAAGUCUGAUGUGAAAGCCCCCGGCUCAACCGGGGAGGGUCAUUGGAAACUGGGGAACUUGAGUGCAGAAGAGGAGAGUGGAAUUCCACGUGUAGCGGUGAAAUGCGUAGAGAUGUGGAGGAACACCAGUGGCGAAGGCGACUCUCUGGUCUGUAACUGACGCUGAGGAGCGAAAGCGUGGGGAGCGAACAGGAUUAGAUACCCUGGUAGUCCACGCCGUAAACGAUGAGUGCUAAGUGUUAGGGGGUUUCCGCCCCUUAGUGCUGCAGCUAACGC
rnacentral:rRNA from 1 species